rnacentral:rRNA from 1 species
UACGUAGGGUGCGAGCGUUAAUCGGAAUUACUGGGCGUAAAGCGUGCGCAGGCGGCGCGUUAAGACAGGUGUGAAAGCCCCGAGCUUAACUUGGGAAUUGCGCUUGUGACUGGCGCUGGAGUGUGGCAGAGGGAGGUGGAAUUCCACGUGUAGCAGUGAAAUGCGUAGAGAUGUGGAGGAACACCGAUGGCGAAGGCAGCCUCCUGGGCCAGCACUGACGCUCAUGCACGAAAGCGUGGGGAGCAAACAGG